rnacentral:rRNA from 1 species
GACGAACCGAGCGAACGUUAUUCGGAAUCACUGGGCUUAAAGGGCGCGUAGGCGGGCCGCCAAGUCAGGGGUGAAAGCCACCAGCUCAACUGGGGAAGUGCCUCUGAUACUGGCGGCCUCGAGGGAGGUAGGGGCGUGCGGAACCUCCGGUGGAGCGGUGAAAUGCGUAGAUAUCGGAAGGAACACCGGUGGCGAAAGCGGCGCGCUGGACCUCAUCUGACGCUGAGGCGCGAAAGCCAGGGGAGCAAACGGG